CUUUUGAAGAUCUUCAUGCCUUAUUGCAUUCUGAAGAAUUGUAAGAGGCAUCAAAUUCUGUAAGCCCUAUGGCUAUGGCUGCCAAUUCUAAGCCACAACGUACUGGAUCUAGUCAACAGUCCUCCACAAAUUUUAAUCACGCAAGAGGACGACAUUUCAACAACAGAGAGAAGCAUGGUAGUUUUCUUCUCAACUUAAUUUUUCAAACAAUUUUCAGAACUUUCAGACCUCUCCUGCUUCUCAAUAUCAAUCUCGUCCAUCUUCUUCUGGCCAACAUUUCAACAAUA
rnacentral:lncRNA from 1 species